UGGGGAAUCUUGCGCAAUGGCCGAAAGGCUGACGCAGCGACGCCGCGUGUGGGAGGACGCCCUUCGGGGUGUAAACCACUGUUGCCCGGGACGAAAUCUCCUUUGGGGAGACUGACGGUACCGGGUGAGGAAGCACCGGCUAACUCCGUGCCAGCAGCCGCGGUAAUACGGAGGGUGCGAGCGUUGUCCGGAAUCACUGGGCGUAAAGGGCGCGUAGGCGGCCCGACAAGGCUGUGGUGAAAGUCCGGGGCUCAACCCCGGAUCGGCCGUGGCGACUGUGGGGCUGGAGCACUGUAGAGGCGAGCGGAAUUCCGGGUGUAGCGGUGGAAUGCGUAGAGAUCCGGAAGAACACCGGUGGCGAAGGCGGCUCGCUGGGCAGUAGCUGACGCUGAGGCGCGACAGCGUGGGGAGCAAACAGGAUUAGAUACCCGUGUAGUCC
rnacentral:rRNA from 1 species